GGUAAUAUACUGAAGUAAAGUACGGAAGCUAUAGCAACUAAAUAUUUGAUACAACCCUGGACCUGGUGUCACAAGUGCACGAGCUACUAAAAUAGUACAAAUAAGGGUUUGAAUAAAACAUAAAGCUAUCUGAAGGAAAAUACACAGCUAAAUAAAAGGAAAGGGGACUCUAGAAGCUGCGGACGCCGAGUAGCUUUACCUCUAGUCUCCGCAAAGCUGGCCAAUUCGAGUACGCUAAUAACCGCUGCCUGGGAACGACCCCAAACUCUUCACAAGAAGUGCAGAGUGUAGUAUGAGUACAACCGACGCCAUAUACUCUGUAAGUGCCGAGUCUAACCUCGAUGAAGUAGUGACGAGGCUAAGGCAGGUCAUUUACACUACAACCUGUAUGCAAUAUAUAAUAAAGACAUAAGAAGAAAAUACAUAACGAAAUAAGACAGUUAGCUGAAGAAAAUAGCUAAAUCCUCAAAGAAAACCAAUGCCGAUUAGAAUUACCAAUCCUUAGAGUUCCGUAUGAAAAUUAUUGAGAACCAAUACAGUACAGGGAAAUAGAAACAUAUAGGUUGUUGGGCGCGCAACCCGAUCCCACCGUAUAGCACAAUCCUCCCUUAUUCCAAUGUAAUAAUAUCAAUAAUCAUAAAUAAAUAAAUACAUGUUGCGGUGCGCAACCCGAUCCCACUAUAUAACAAAACCAGUAUCAUAAUUCACCUUUAUCUCACUGUAUCAAUCCACCCUUAUAUCAUAUGUUGUGGAGUGCAACCCGAUCCUACCAUAUCAGGAAAAUUCACCUUUAUUCUACCAUAUCAAUUCACCCUUAUUUCACCUAUUGCGGCAUGCAACUCGAUCCCACCAUAUCAAUACAAAUAUUCACUAAGUAUUAUUAAAUCCAUAACUCAAAUCACAAGAAUCUCUACGAUUGAUGAAUAUAAAGUUGAAUCAGAAAGGAAACCUUGUACCAACUUGGAAAUUCACAAAUGUAAUACUACACAGCAAGACAAAUCCAGUAAUGACAAUUAGAAGGUGCAAGUAAGUCAAUUAAGGCAAAUAUCAAUGAGUCAUAAAAUGAAAAGGUCUAACAUUUAACAGGAGAAACAAUGAUUAACAAGUAGCAAAUAAAGCAUGGAAGACAUUUAGAGCAUAUAACAGCUAAGGCAGGGAAGGAGAUAAUUAAGGAAAAGCGGAAAAUCGGAGAAACAAGAAAUUCGACAGCGUAUAAGCACCCGUCACCUUGCAUAUAUGCCGCAACACAUGAAAUUCACAUAGCAUAUAGUCUGAGGGUUCCUAAUUCAUUCAAAUCAAGAUUAACCUCAACACUUAACUCACUCUGCAGUCAACUCAGAGCUCUACCCGGGCCUUUCCCCUAGAAUCCGCCUCCAAACCACUCGUAUCUAACCACUAUUGACUCAAUAAUAUCAAAUAUUGCUAAAGAAAUGUUGCGACCCAAACCGAUGGGACGCGACAAGCACCCAAUACCUUACUCAACCGAGUAACAACAUAACGUAUCUUUUCGUAUCAUACUAUCAUAGGUAAAUGAGCUAGAGAGGCUACCGUGAGAUAAAUAGAAUAAAACAUGGAGAGAUACUUGACAUUGGACGAUCCAACAUGUAAUCCAAACUUAUACGUAUGACCUACGGGCCUAUAAGCCCGGCAUGAUUCUUUAUAUACUCAAAACAUAGGCCGACAAGGCCAUGCAAGAAUCCGUAUACAUGACAUCUGUCUACAAGCCUCCAAGAAUACAUAAUAUCGUAAGGUCGAGAUAGAGCCCCACCAUACCAAACAAUACACAUCUAAAUUAUACUGACCAAACAAGCAACUCUGGAGCAAAUGGAGUGCACCAACAUCUUCCGUUGAGCUGAUCGCCUACUUGGAGGACUCUCAACCUGUCUAUCGGGACCUGCGGGCAUGAAACGCAGCAUCCCCAGAAAAAAGGGACGCCAGUACAAAUAAUGCACCCAGUAUGUAAGGAAUGAAAAUCAGUAGACAAUAGACAUAAGAGAAAAAUAGAGUAAAAGACUUGACAUGUAAAUCUGAAUUGCUCGUGAAAUCCUUUAAUAUUUAAAAUGUCAUGCAUAUACGUAUAAAUGUCAUGUCGUGCAUAGGUACAUGUGUUCAUGACAUCAUCAAGCCUCUGAGAGCAUUCCAUCAUAUCAUCUAGGCCACUUUGGGCAAAAUCAUCAACGUAUACCAGCUGAUCAGGUGGUGGUGCGUAUAUAAUGCCAUAACCUUUCCCAUAUACAUAUAUAUAUGCGUAUAUAAUGACAUCUGGUCAUGGGUCAAUGUACAUAUGUAAAUGCAUGAAAUGCAUGUGAAAAUAUGUUAAUAAAAUCCCUCGGUACGUCAUAAUACCAUUAUGCCUAUGAUUGAUAUCAUGAAAUAAAUUUUACCAACUUACGUAUUUUUGAGACCCAUGAACAGAUGAUAGAAUAAUAUGACACAUGAGGAAUCAAGAACAUAAGUAUCUCUAGUAUUUCUAUGAAUAGAGUCAUUUAUGGAAUUUGUGCAUUUUCUCGUUUCGUUCGUGUCAUAUAGAUCAUACCAAAAAGAAAGAAAGGAUAGCCUUAACAUACCUUAAUUGCUCAUAAGAACUUGAGAAGGUCAUAGAUGAAUAUUCAAACUUUGGAUCAUAUUCAAAAUAAUUAACCUGAAGGUGUUGGCAUGAAUUUCCAAGAAUUAUCCCUAACUAAGCUUGAACGUUGGUUAAUUCCUUCUUCAUGCCAAAUAAAGUGUGCUGUAUGUUAUAAUAUAAUAGAUUUUCCAAGAAUGAGAGCACACCGAAAUGAAGCAAAAAUGGUCAAAAAGGUACUGUCCAAAAGACAAAUAGUUCAUUGAAAUAUGGAACAUAUCUAUUCACGUUACUAUAUCUCUUCUUUUCUUUAUCCCCUUUUUUUCUGUCCCACAACUACUUAUCUUUAACAUUAAUUUAUUAAGGAGAU
rnacentral:lncRNA from 1 species